CACAAUGGGCGCAAGCCUGAUGCAGCCAUGCCGCGUGUAUGAAGAAGGCCUUCGGGUUGUAAAGUACUUUCAGCAGUGAGGAAGGUGGGUAUGUUAAUAGCAUAUUCAUUUGACGUUAGCUGCAGAAGAAGCACCGGCUAACUCCGUGCCAGCAGCCGCGGUAAUACGGAGGGUGCGAGCGUUAAUCGGAAUUACUGGGCGUAAAGCGCAUGCAGGUGGUUUGUUAAGUCAGAUGUGAAAGCCCGGGGCUCAACCUCGGAAUUGCAUUUGAAACUGGCAAACUAGAGUACUGUAGAGGGGGUAGAAUUUCAGGUGUAGCGGUGAAAAUGCGUAGAGAUCUGAAGGAAUACCGGUGGCGAAGGCGGCCCCCUGGACAGAUACUGACACUCAGAUGCGAAAGCGUGGGGAGCAAAACAGGAUUAGAUACCCUGGUAG
rnacentral:rRNA from 1 species